rnacentral:rRNA from 1 species
UGGGGAAUAUUGCGCAAUGGGGGCAACCCUGACGCAGCCAUGCCGCGUGAAUGAAGAAGGCCUUCGGGUUGUAAAGUUCUUUCGGUAGCGAGGAAGGCAUUUAGUUUAAUAGACUAGAUGAUUGACGUUAACUACAGAAGAAGCACCGGCUAACUCCGUGCCAGCAGCCGCGGUAAUACGGAGGGUGCGAGCGUUAAUCGGAAUAACUGGGCGUAAAGGGCACGCAGGCGGUGACUUAAGUGAGGUGUGAAAGCCCCGGGCUUAACCUGGGAAUUGCAUUUCAUACUGGGUCGCUAGAGUACUUUAGGGAGGGGUAGAAUUCCACGUGUAGCGGUGAAAUGCGUAGAGAUGUGGAGGAAUACCGAAGGCGAAGGCAGCCCCUUGGGAAUGUACUGACGCUCAUGUGCGAAAGCGUGGGGAGCAAACAGGAUUAGAUACCCUGGUAGUCCACGCUGUAAACGAUGUCGAUUUGGGGGUUGAACUAUAAGUUUGGCGCCCGUAGCUAACGUGAUAAAUCGACCGCCUGGGGAGUACGGCCGCAAGGUUA